rnacentral:lncRNA from 1 species
AAUGUACUGCAGUGAAUAAUUGCCAAUCAUGUAUAAACAGAAAGAAAUGUUUUUGGUGCAGUGAAGAAAAGGCUUGCAAAAAAAUUUGUUUUCUAAAUUCUCAGUGUCCUGUCAGUUGUUCAUUUUGGUUAAACUGUCAAGUUGACAUGUUUGGAUUCCUGAUGCUUCUACUCCUUGCGGUCAUGGUUAUAGCGUUCAUUUGUCAAUGCUGCAUUUAUCAACAUUACCUACAGAGAACUCAAGUCUAUAUUGGUAGAAGACCACACACAGU